CUAUAUGGAUAGGCUAGCGCUCAAGAGAUAAAAGUUAUGAAUUUAUUAUAUUAGAUUAAUUCAUCAAAAUUAAAGAUUAAAAUAAGUAGGAAAAGAAAGCCUGUACGGUUCAUUCAGAAGAAUCGCGUAAUCUAAUGAGUACUAAUAGUACUUUGUGUGAUGAAAAGGUACGUGAGUUGGGUUCAAUACGACGUGAGUC
rnacentral:rRNA from 1 species